rnacentral:rRNA from 1 species
GAUGAACGCUGGCGGCGUGCCUAAUACAUGCAAGUCGAGCGAACGGACGAGAAGCUUGCUUCUCUGAUGUUAGCGGCGGACGGGUGAGUAACACGUGGAUAACCUACCUAUAAGACUGGGAUAACUUCGGGAAACCGGAGCUAAUACCGGAUAAUAUUUUGAACCGCAUGGUUCAAAAGUGAAAGACGGUCUUGCUGUCACUUAUAGAUGGAUCCGCGCUGCAUUAGCUAGUUGGUAAGGUAACGGCUUACCAAGGCAACGAUGCAUAGCCGACCUGAGAGGGUGAUCGGCCACACUGGAACUGAGACACGGUCCAGACUCCUACGGGAGGCAGCAGUAGGGAAUCUUCCGCAAUGGGCGAAAGCCUGACGGAGCAACGCCGCGUGAGUGAUGAAGGUCUUCGGAUCGUAAAACUCUGUUAUUAGGGAAGAACAUAUGUGUAAGUAACUGUGCACAUCUUGACGGUACCUAAUCAGAAAGCCACGGCUAACUACGUGCCAGCAGCCGCGGUAAUACGUAGGUGGCAAGCGUUAUCCGGAAUUAUUGGGCGUAAAGCGCGCGUAGGCGGUUUUUUAAGUCUGAUGUGAAUCCCACGGCUCAACCCUGGAGGGGUCAUUGGAAACUGAAAACUUGUUUGCCUAACAAGAACGGGAAUUUCUUUUGAACUAGUGAAAUCCCCCAAGAUUGGCAGGACCCCGUUGGUUACUUU